ACGAACGCUGGCGGCGUGCUUAACACAUGCAAGUCGAACGGAAAGGCCCUGCUUGCAGGGUACUCGAGUGGCGAACGGGUGAGUAACACGUGGGUGAUCUGCCCUGCACUUCGGGAUAAGCCUGGGAAACUGGGUCUAAUACCGGAUAGGAGCCAUUUUUAGUGUGAUGGUUGGAAAGUUUUUUCGGUGUAGGAUGAGCUCGCGGCCUAUCAGCUUGUUGGUGGGGUAAUGGCCUACCAAGGCGGCGACGGGUAGCCGGCCUGAGAGGGUGGACGGCCACAUUGGGACUGAAGUCGGCCCCAGCCCCCUACGGGGGCAGGCGGGGGGAAAUUUGGACAAUGGGGCGAAGGCCUGAUGCAGCGGCCCCGGGGGGGGGAUGCCGCCUUUGGGGUUGAAACCCCUUUCCGCGGGGGAAAAGGCUUUUUGGGACGUUACCUAAAAAAGAAGCCCCGCCUACCUCCGCG
rnacentral:rRNA from 1 species